rnacentral:rRNA from 1 species
GACGAACGCUGGCGGCGUGCCUAAUACAUGCAAGUCGAACGCACAGUUUAUACCGUAGCUUGCUACACCAUAGACUGUGAGUUGCGAACGGGUGAGUAACGCGUAGGUAACCUGCCUGGUAGCGGGGGAUAACUAUUGGAAACGAUAGCUAAUACCGCAUAAUAUUAAUUAUUGCAUGGUAAUUAAUUGAAAGGUGCAAUUGCACCACUACCAGAUGGACCUGCGUUGUAUUAGCUAGUAGGUGAGGUAACGGCUCACCUAGGCGACGAUACAUAGCCGACCUGAGAGGGUGAUCGGCCACACUGGGACUGAGACACGGCCCAGACUCCUACGGGAGGCAGCAGUAGGGAAUCUUCGGCAAUGGACGAAAGUCUGACCGAGCAACGCCGCGUGAGUGAAGAAGGUUUUCGGAUCGUAAAGCUCUGUUGUAAGAGAAGAACGGGUGUGAGAGUGGAAAGUUCACACUGUGACGGUAUCUUACCAGAAAGGGACGGCUAACUACGUG